AACAGGAUUAGAUACCCUGGUAGUCCACGCCGUAAACGAUGGGUGCUAGGUGUGGGGGGUGUCGACUCCCCCCGUGCCGAAGCUAACGCAUUAAGCACCCCGCCUGGGGAGUACGGCCGCAAGGCUAAAACUCAAAGGAAUUGACGGGGGCCCGCACAAGCAGCGGAGCAUGUGGCUUAAUUCGACGCAACGCGAAGAACCUUACCAAGGCUUGACAUACACCGAAAACUCAUAGAGAUAUGGGGUCCGCAAGGGCGGUGUACAGGUGGUGCAUGGUUGUCGUCAGCUCGUGUCGUGAGAUGUUGGGUUAAGUCCCGCAACGAGCGCAACCCUCGUUCUAUGUUGCCAGCGCGUGAUGGCGGGGACUCAUAGGAGACUGCCGGGGUCAACUCGGAGGAAGGUGGGGACGACGUCAAAUCAUCAUGCCCCUUAUGUCUUGGGCUGCACACAUGCUACAAUGGCCGGUACAAAGGGCUGCUAAACCGCGAGGUGGAGCGAAUCCCAAAAAGCCGGUCUCAGUUCGGAUUGGGGUCUGCAACUCGACCCCAUGAAGUCGGAGUUGCUAGUAAUCGCAGAUCAGCAACGCUGCGGUGAAUACGUUCCCGGGCCUUGUACACACCGCCCGUCACACCACGAAAGUUGGCAAUACCCGAAGCCGGUGGGCUAACCCGCAAGGGAGGCAGCCGUCGAAGGUAGGGUUGAUGAUUGGGGUGAAGUCGUAACAAGGUAACC
rnacentral:rRNA from 1 species